rnacentral:lncRNA from 1 species
AAAACUACACUGCGGUUUAUAUUAAAACCGUUAAUACAUAUUUAAUAUACCAGAUUAUUCUAUUUCAGUAAAGUCGAAAAGGAGAUUUUAUGACGCGACGACAGCGGAGCUAUUGCGAUCACCGUCACUCACUCUCGUCGACGUUUUGGUGGAUGCCAGGUGAUUUCAUAAGCAAGAGAAGUUGAAACAGCGGGCUUUCGUGCAUUACAAAUCAUCGGCUCGGGUUACUUGAAGAAUCAGAGAAGAACCGAAGCAGUAUGUCAUAAGCGCCUCUAUCUCAACAAUCUACCAUGACAUUAUCAUCCAAUAGAGAGAUCGUAAUUAAGGGAACCAAGAGUUACAGAAACUAGUCAACUUCUUUCUUACAUCAGAUUCAUAAACAAUCUAACUGGAUCUACUUGCUUGCCCUUAGCUGGACCAAGUAUCUUGACAAACCACUUCGGCUUGAAUGAAGCAAUAACGUGUGCCAUUACCAAUCCAAGUAACAGUCCAGGCCAAUACCCGAAAAACACUGCUUUCCACUCAAUCACUUCGUCCUCUUCUUCUUCUUCGUCUUCUUCCUUGGGAUAUUUUGUUGGUGGCGCAACGCAACUUCCUUGGAGAGGAAGACCACAGAGACCUACAUUCCCUUCAAAUGAUGAUUCAGCUUGCCCACUAAACUGUGGUCCCUGUGGUAUUUCACCUUUGAGUUGGUUAUGAGCUACACUUAUGUCUAGUGACUCGAGCUCCGUAACAUUUGCCAAAGACAUAGGAAUAUGGCCAGUGAAGGCGUUGUUCGAUAAGUUGAGCGCUAUCAAUUCCUUCAACAGACCAAUAGACUCAGGAAUCUGUCCUUCAAGUUUGUUUCCAGAGAAAUCAAUGGUGCUGUAGAAAUUAACAAAGAAAUUUGGUGGCAAGCUUCCAGUAAAGCUGUUAUCUGACAAUUCAAGUAUCCGCAGCUCGGGAAACGCGAGAGGACCUCGAUCAGGAGGAGAGAGAUGGCCGAAGAAUCUGUUUGAACGGAGAGUCAAGACAUGCAAAUUGGGUAGCGCCUUCAGCCAGAAAGGAAACGUGUCUUCAAUUCUGUUGUUGUCAACACUCAGAAACCUCAGAGAGGAGCAAUUCAAAAGUGAUUUUGGAAGCUUCCCGGUUAGUCGAUUAUAGCCAACGUCAAGCGUCUGUGUCUUAGCACCGCUAUGGAACUCGUCAGGAUAGAUCAAGGACGAUGAGAGAGCUUCGGUUGCAGAUUGAGAGAGGUAUGUUCCCUGUGAAACUAUUGUUCCACGCAGACAAGUAGAUCGAACCGAGUGGUGGAGUAGGAAACGCUCCUGUCAUGGAGUUAUAGGCAAAAUCUAGUAACUGCACUGAUGAGUUAAGUAAAACUUCUGAAGAACCUUCGAAACCAGUCAAAGAAUUGUUAACAAGAUUUGCUAUGCUAAGACGAGGAAGCUUCCAAAACCACUCAGGUACUUUCCCUUUGAUUAGAUUGUUGGAAAUGUCUAUAUGCUCCAAGUUUUGAAGGGUCUUAAAGAUGUUUGGAAACUCGAUAAUGUCGCACUGGAUCAAAAUCAAGCUUAUUAAGCUCAAUGGAAACUCUGAAUCUGAACUUAAACUGGCUGGUAAUAACCUAUUUUGACGAAUAUCAAAGACCAACAAAGAUUUGAGAGGAGCGAAGACGCGUAAGUCAAUUGGGUGACUUAUGUUUAGGGAAGCAAGUUCAAGAUGGUUGAGGUUUAUGAGCUUUGAGAUAGGCUCUAUGAUUUUUCCUUCAAAUUGGUUAAACCCAAGGGACAAACGAACUAGCUUAGAUGAAGAAGAAGAGUUUGGGACAUCAAUAGAACCAGUGAGAUGAUUCUUUUUCAGAUCAAGAUAAGACAAGAAAGGCAAAGUGGGUAGUAAAUCAAAAGGUAUGGCUCCUGAGAAUUGAUUGUAAGAAAGGUCUAAAAAGGAAAGCUUUGUUAGGUUUCUUACAGGUGGGAAACUACCAGUGAGCUCAUUAUGGGAAAGGUUUAAAUGGGUAAGCAAGAUAAGGUUACUAAUUGAGGAAGGAACUUGACCAGUAAAGCUACUAGAGGCAAGAGACAAAACCUCUAAUCUGGUGAGAUUGCUGAAUUCAGAAGGGAGUGAAGAGGAAGUGAAGUUGUUGUGAGAGAGAUUAAGGUAACGAAGCUGAUGCAACUCAAAGAGACUACUGUUUGGUUUGAGAGUUCCAGUGAAGCAACCACUUGGGAGCUGAAGCUUCGUGACCGCACCAGUCGUGUUAUCACACUGGACUCCGUUUAAGUAGUCACUGCGGUUGCAGCCGUCAGAUUCAAACUCAUUCUUGAAUUGGAUUAGAGCUUGGAUCUGGUCAGGAAGACAAGCAAGAGCGUCGGUCGUCAAGAAGCUUGAAACGAAGACGAUACAGUAGAGUAAGAGUAGCGAGCAAAAAUGCAAACGCAUGGUGUUUGUGAUUGAACCAACAAGUUGAGGAAAUUAUUGAACCCAAAAAAAGACAUAUCAAAGAUUUGCUAUAUAUAUGUUAUUUUAAGCCGCCUUUACUAAAUAUGUGGGGUUUAAAUGUCACGUGAAAUGUCUACGAGUCACAUUUGUUCAUGAAGUAAAUUCCACGUGGACAUCUCUG